GAUGAGAACGCAGCGAACUGCGAUAAGUAAUGUGAAUUGCAGAAUUCAGUGAAUCAUCGAGUCUUUGAACGCACAUUGCGCCCCCUGGCAUUCCGGGGGGCAUGCCUGUCCGAGCGUCAUUGCUGCCCUUCAAGCCCGGCUUGUGUGUUGGGUCGUCGUCCCCCCCGGGGGACGGGCCCGAAAGGCAGCGGCGGCACCGCGUCCGGUCCUCGAGCGUAUGGGGCUUUGUCACCCGCUCGAUUAGGGCCGGCCGGGCGCCAGCCGGCGUCUCCAACCUUCUAUUUUACCAGGUUGACCUCGGAUCAGGUAGGGAUACCCGCUGAACUUAAGCAUAUCAAUAAGCGGAGGA
rnacentral:misc_RNA from 1 species